rnacentral:tRNA from 2 species
GGGAGCAUAGUUCAAUUGGUUAGAACAUGCACUACAAACGUGCAAGAUGCGAGUCCGAUUCUCACUGUUCCUA